rfam:Photobacterium ganghwense strain DSM 22954 contig0002, whole genome shotgun sequence.
UUCUCUUGGUGGUGGCACUUCCCAACGCGGGUGGUGUGAUUCGCUGUGCCUUGAGCCAGACAACACAAACCCGCCUGAGUGCGGGUUUUUUUCA